rnacentral:hammerhead_ribozyme from 1 species
CUACUACUGAAGAGUCCAAAACUAGGACGAAACAGCUGUCCAGUAC